rnacentral:rRNA from 1 species
GACGAACGCUGGCGGCGUGCUUAACACAUGCAAGUCGAACGGAAAGGCCCUGCGCUUGUGGGGUGCUCGAGUGGCGAACGGGGGAGUAACACGUGAGUAACCUGCCCUUGACUUUGGGAUAACUUCAGGAAACUGGGGCUAAUACCGGAUAGGAGCUCCUGCUGCAUGGUGGGGGUUGGAAAGUUUCGGCGGUUGGGGAUGGACUCGCGGCUUAUCAGCUUGAUUGUGGGGUAGUGGCUUACCAAGGCUUUGACGGGUAGCCGGCAUGGGAGGGUGAACGGCGUCCUUGGGACUGCGGUACGGCCCAGAAUCGUACGGGCGGCAGCAGUGGGGAAUAUUGCGCAAUGGGCGGAAGCCUGAUGCGGCAACGCCGCGUGCGGGAUGCCGGCCUUCGGGUUGUAAACCGCUUUCGCAUGUGACGAAGCGUGAGUGACGGUAAUGGGUAAAGAAGCACCGGCUAACUACGUG